rnacentral:rRNA from 1 species
UACGGAGGAUGCGAGCGUUAUCCGGAUUUAUUGGGUUUAAAGGGUGCGUAGGCGGGGGCUUAAGUCAGUUGUGAAAGUUUGCGGCUCAACCGUCGGGGUGCAGUUGAUACUGGACGUCUUGAGUGCACACAAGGAUGCCGGAAUUCAUGGUGUAGCGGUGAAAUGCUCAGAUAUCAUGAAGAACUCCGAUCGCGAAGGCAGGUGUCCGGGGUGCAACUGACGCUGAGGCACGAAAGUGCGGGUAUCGAACAGG